GACGAACGCUGGCGGCGUGCUUAACACAUGCAAGUCGAACGGUGAAGGUGGGAGCUUGCUCCUGCUGGAUCAGUGGCGAACGGGUGAGUAACACGUGAGUAACCUGCCCUUGACUCUGGGAUAAGCGUUGGAAACGACGUCUAAUACCGGAUACGAGCUUCAGCCGCAUGGCUAGGAGUUGGAAAGAUUUUUCGGUCAAGGAUGGACUCGCGGCCUAUCAGCUUGUUGGUGGGGUAAAGGCUCACCAAGGCGGCGACGGGUAGCCGGCCUGAGAGGGUGACCGGCCACACUGGGACUGAGACACGGCCCAGACUCCUACGGGAGGCAGCAGUGGGGAAUAUUGCACAAUGGGCGCAAGCCUGAUGCAGCAACGCCGCGUGAGGGACGACGGCCUUCGGGUUGUAAACCUCUUUUAGCAGGGAAGAAGCGCAAGUGACGGUACCUGCAGAAAAUGCACCGGCUAACUACGUGCCAGCAGCCGCAGUAA
rnacentral:rRNA from 1 species